rnacentral:snRNA from 1 species
UGUAAUAUAUCGUCUCGUAUUAAU